GAGUUUGAUCGUGGCUCAGGAUGAACGCUAGCGGCGCGCCUAAUGCAUGCAAGUCGAGCGAUGAGGCACCUUUGGGUGUACAUCAGCGGCAGACGGGUGAGUAACACGUAGGUGACCUACCCCGAAGACGGGGAUAACAGGUGGAAACAUCUGCUAAUACCCGAUGGACUCUGAGCGGAAGCGAGGAGUAAAGGCUACGGUGCUUCGGGAGGGCCUGCGGCCUAUCAGCUAGUUGGUAGGGUAACGGCCUACCAAGGCGAAGACGGGUAGGGGUGUGAGAGCACGGCCCCCCACAAUGGGACUGAGACACGGCCCAUACUCCUACGGGAGGCAGCAGCAGGGAAUAUUGCGCAAUGGGCGGAAGCCUGACGCAGCGACGCCGCGUGGAUGAAGAAGGCCUCGGUUGUAAA
rnacentral:rRNA from 1 species